CCGACGCCACACAACUGGCCACCGACCUAGGAUCGGUCGACUCCUCCGAUCGCCAUAUAGCCGCCAGAGCUGUCAGUCCUGACAGCAACAUGCGACACUGCCACCUAGGGGCAUUAUCCCGUCUAGGGCAUUGUCAACCCUAGUGAUUUGACAGCCCCACGGCGAUAUGACACUUUUACGGCGACUCUGACAGUCUACAGUGAGUUGACAAUUCCUCA
rnacentral:lncRNA from 1 species